UAUUACCCCUCUCUAUGUUUCGAAGCCCUUUCCUUCACUAUUUGUGCUUUUGGACAAGCUCCUUCUCUCUCUAUGUUUUCGAUUAACAAAGAUCAUCGAAGCCCUUUCCUUUCUUCUCUGUGCUUUCGAUUUACAAAGACCAUUGAAGCCCUAAAGCCCCAUCUGUAUGUUUCGAUUUACGAUGACCUUCAAACCCCGAAGCCUCAUCUCUGUGUAUUUCUACAUUUUUGUCUCUGUGCCUCUAUGUAUCUUCCUUUCAUCCCGAGUACUUCCUUUCAUCUCGAAGCCCUUCCAUUUCCAUUCAUCCCAAGUUCUCACCUCCCUCGAAGAUGACCCAGUAGACAUCCCUCCCUCCUAACUCUAACCCAGCCCAUUUCCCUUCAUCCCCAAAUCCUAACCCUAACCAUAAACUGUAACCCUAACCAAGUCCAUUUUCCCUUCAUCCCGAAGCCCUAAUACUAGAAUAUGGUCGUGACAGAAGAAGGAAGACAGUCGCCCCUAUCCGGUCCAGAAGGAAUGCAAGUCGAUGCCAUGAUGUACUUGGUUGAUGCUUAUGACAAAGAGAGAUUUGCAAAGUCAAAAACGGAGCUUGAUGCUCUCUCUCAAUACAUCAAGUAGGCAAACAAUCAGAUGGCAAUUUUUCUACCACUGCUGCAGCCCUUUUAUUCAAGUUGGUCUUGGGAAUAUUAAGCAUAGGCAAUGCAAAAGGACUUAUAGUAGCUUCGAUUUUUGCAUAUACUCCAUCUUGGUGAUCUAAUUCAGGUAUUUCAUCUCUGCAUUUGUGGAGUAUAAUUUUUUUUUUAGUUUUUAGGCCCAUUUUGGUGGAAUUGAACAUGCAUUAAUUUAUUGUUGAUUGAGCUGAGAGUUUUGAUUUCAAAUAAUGGGAAUUUUUGGGGUUGAAGGCAUGGUUUCCAAGCUGUUACUUGUCGUGGUGUUUGUUUUGGAUCUGAUAGCUGUUAUUUAUCACUCUUCUAUAAUAUGGUAUGUGGGUUUUGGUUAUAGACUUGAAAGGGGUAGUCUUUGUGCGACUUAGCUAGUUUAUUUAAUUUCUUUAAGAUCUGCUACAAAUGUUGCUAUAAAUUAGGGACACCAAGUUUCUGAAAAAGGAUAAAACAAAUGAACACCAAUUGCUGAAAUAGGUCUAUUAUGUAUUGCUUAUAAGGUUAUGUCCACUUUGCCUUACUCUAGACCUUUCUCAUUAAAUUUCUUAUCACUUUCAUAUCUUGCAAGAUGAAGGUAGGCUUGUAAAUGAGACUCAGACAUGUAUCUUGAGGGCCAUCAAGAUAAGUUAUAGGUGAUGAUUGGAAUAUUUUACAGCAGCAUCAACUGUUGUUUUUCUUCAUUUCAUGCUUUUUCUGCAAUUCUCCUAUAAUCAAUUUUGGCAUGUGAAUAGGUUUCUUUAUUACGUUGAUACUUGCAUUAGUUGUUUGAUACAAUGAAACGAGUAGGAAGGAAAGACCCGUUGUGCUCUUACAUGGGUCUCACAAUUUUAUUUAGACUUAACACUCUUCUUUAGACUGCCAUGGUUGUUUUGAUUCUACGCUCUUACAUGAAUCCUUGUCUCAUCUUAGUAUACUGAUCUGCUUUAGAAAUAAAUUCCACUUUAGAAAGACAUCCAUAGCGAUUCUCAUUUUGAAAUUUCAUGUAAUUUCUUGCUUCCAUUUAAUUGUUGAGAUUUUCAUUUGUCCUGUUUACUUUAUUCUACGAGGAGAGGAAUGGGGUCUUUCGGAUUGUGAAUGCCCAUCCUUUGUUGCGUGUGAACAACAAAAUGAUUGUCUUUAAACUCUGGCCCAUCAAAUGAACCACAAUAUGAACUGUUAUACUUGGCAUCUCAAGAUAUCUUUUUGGCAGAGCAAUUUACUCAUGCUCAUUCAUUUACAUGUGCAAGAGUAUACAUCUACUAGAGAGUAGAUGUAUAAAAGUCAAAAUUGUAUAGGACUGCUGUUCAUUCUUGUUUCUUGGAUUUAAAAUUGUAUACAUGUUCUUCCUUGCAUGGAAUCUACAUUUGCAUCUACAAUAGGCAUAGCCUUAGUACCCUAGAUUGAUUCAAUCAUACGUAUCUGCAUUGCUCAAUGCUUUGCAAUAGGCAAUCUACAAUUCUCUUGUUAAUGAUGACAAUAGGCAUAGCAUUUCAAUGCAUGGGAAAUGUGGAAUUAGUGCUUUCCUUCUAGUGUUCUGGAGGAUAGUAGAUGCCAUUGUGGUGCUUGCUUAAAUCCUAUGAGUUAUUAAGUACUUUACUGAGAAUAAAAAAGGAUGUAAUCUAGAAUACAACUUUGACUUUAAUAAUAUUCACUUGUUUCUUGGGUUUUGCUAAUAUUCACUUGUAUCAUUAACUCAUUCCUGUUGAAGUUAACUAUUUGAGAACUCAUUUCUGGUUUUGCUAUUUGAUUAAAGGAUGUGGGCUGUUUAUG